UUUAAAGUGGGUUGGUUAUUACAGGGUCUCCUCCUCUGGUUGUGGUGGUGCUGCCACCAGGGAUGCUGGGGUGCAGAGUUCCAGCAGCUUCCCCUCCUGGAGCCAGGGCUGGUGUCCCUGUUGUGGUCCAGAUGGAUCCAGGGCAGCAGCAGAGCUUCAGACACUCAGUCCUGCAGUAAGUACAACCCACCCAUCGCUGGCAGGCAAUGCCUGCAGCCAGCAUCAGCAAAGGCUCCUCUGUGGAUACCUCCAGCUCCAUGCUGAACUCUCAGAUCCCUCUUGCUGUGUUUUUCCCUGCAAGCAAAGUCUGUCUCUCCUGGCUCUUCCCCACAGAGAAAGGCGAGAGCAUCGCCACGACCGAAGCCUGAAGCUCUCCAAAACCUUUGCUAAGCACCCUGUUUAUUACUCCCCGUGGUCCUUCUGCUGCUGCAGGUUAGCUUUGCCUGGGCUCUUCAUCCUGACACAGCUGCGUGGGCAGCCCCAGCCAGGCAGGACUGCACCAAGACCAAGUGGGAGGUUUUCCUGCCUGGCAUGGGGGGAGUGUGGUGAAGUCCCAUGAAGUGCUGUUGUGGCCCUGCUGAGCCCUGCAGAUGCUGGGAGCAGGCACAGGAUGGUCAGUAUGUGAGUAUAACCCUUCUCUGCAGCGAUAAAUCCAGCAUCUGCAUUCAGAAUUGAUGCAGAAUUGAUGCACUUUUCUACCUUAAAAAUCCUAAUCGGUUUUUAUCGGUGGCAUCACGCUUCUCCGUGUGAGAGCUGCUCCACUAUCAGCUGGAGGAGUGCUACAGUGCGGUAAAAGAUACUGGAACACGUUCAAAGGUGUGUUUGGCUGCUCCUCUCCCCCUUGGAAGCUCCAUUCCCAGCGGGUUGCUGCCUGCAGUUGUUGUCCGCAGGCACUGUGACACAGAGCCAGGCACAGACCAGGCUGAGAUCCACUCCCUUCAGAGCAUUCCCAGCUCUCAGCCAAGCUCUGGGAAGGCAAUUCCCAGGCUCAGGCUGUGACCCAAAGCAGCUGUCCCUGUGCUCACUGUGACUCUCCAAAACUUCUCUCUUCACGAGGGUUUUUCUUGUGCCCUGGGUGGCAAUUAAAGUGUGAUCAAUCAGUGUCGAAUAAAAGUCAUCGGAAUAUGGCUGCGAGGCUGAUUGCCUGUAACCAGCAUAAUUAGACAGCAAGGAUUUUCUUCUUUUUCUCUUUCUGCAAGAGGGCUAAAAGCCUCCCAGAUUGGAGCUCCCGUGUCUGCAGCAAGGUGAAUUCACAUCUGACCUAUUGUUCAAAUAAGAAUUCUCUUCAAAUCCAACCAAAGACCUAUCCAAAGAACAGCAGAGAGUCGUAAUCCCUGAAAUUUAUUGCCAUUUUCGUAUGUGUGGUCAGGCUGAUUUCAGGGGUGAUGGGCAGGAGAGCAGGUCUGGGUCUCAUCAGCCCUGGUGUGGUGCUGGCACUGCUGUCCCCAGCCUGGGUGUCCCCAGUGUCCCUUAUCACAGCUGUCUUCUUUGCAUCUCCAGUAACUCUGUACUGAUUUCCUCAGGCCGACAAAAGUUGGCUGUUUCCAUAUUCCCUGUCACUGCUGAUCUGUCCCUUCUCACUCUCCAAAUCCUCUUUCCAUUUCUAUUGACAUUAAUGAACUGCUGCUGUCCCCUAGCGCCGCUGCCCCCUCACCCCCCCAGAACUGUCUGAUGUUCCAGUCAGCUUCACCAGCUCCUCAGGUCUCAGCAUCUCCCCAAAAAGUCCUCGGCAUCAACAAAAGGUCCCUGGCAUUACCUGCCACGGUGCCCCAAGCAUUACCAGGCAGCCACAGCCAUGCACUGAGAUACUUUCCUAAGCACUGGAUAAUUAAAAAAAGCAGCAAAUGGAAGUAAUUCCCACUUAGGAGGAAGGACCUGCUGGAAUUCACACUGGGAAGGAGGAUUCAACAGCUGUGCAUUAGCAUAAUGUGGAAAUGGCGUGGAGAGCAGAGCUGAGUGGAGCUGCCACCCUCUGCCUCAGGUUUUCCAGCAAGAGGGGAAGGCAGGAAAGAGCCCAGGAAUGGGGGGGGGUGGCUGGGAACCCCCUCAAGCAAGCAGCAGCCUUUCUCCCAGGACUCUCAGCUCAGCAUGUGCCAGGAGAGGUUUCCUUUGGAAAGGUGAGCUGGGAUGUGGGAGCUCUCCCCAGGGCACCCAGCCCCCCGUUCCUGCCACCCCCUGACAGCUGCUGACAUUUCUCCUUGGGCUCUGGCAUUUGUUUUGAUCCAUCUUGGGUUUGCACUUCCCUCUCAGGAUUAACAGGCAAAGUGGCAAGAUGUUGAUACAGAAAGGUGAACUAAGCCAAACCAGAGCCCCUGCAUCAGCCACAGCCCGGGGUGUGAGAGGGAAACUGAGCAUCCCAUGGGAGGGAUGGGCAUCUCAGAACUCGUGUGGGGCAGCUCUGUGUGCCCUCUGAGUGCAGAAGUCACCAUGUCUGGCACUGACUUACCCCGAGAUGGCAUCCCUGGCCUUAGAGCUGCCUGGUCCCCUCUCUCCAUCACUGCCUGGCACCGCAUGGCAGACAGACAGAUGGACAGAGAGACAGACAGACGGCUCUGCAUGGCUCUCGGGGCACCACAGGGGAGAUGGACAGAUGGACAGACAGACCACUCUGCAUCACUCUGCAGGCAUCACCUGGGUGACAGAUGGACGGACAGACCCGGUGUGUCAGAGUGGACGGCCGGACAGACAGACAGACAGACAGACAGACAGCCGCUCGCUGUCCAGCGUCCUCCCGGCCUCACAUCGUUUGCCCACAGGCUCCAUCUUGUGGAAGAUGCUCCCUCCAGGAGCUGAAGUGGGAAGGCAUCCACCCCCUGAUGUGUGGGUCCCCUUGGCACUGCCACCGUGGGACUCCUGACGGGGUGGCCGUGCUGGCACCUGCUGGCACCCCGAUCAACAUCCUCUGCCUCCAUGGGCUUAGUACCAUGUUCCGCCCCUGUAUACAGCUAAUGAGAGAAGCAAAUGUGGUGGAAUUUAUUUCAACAGAUGGAGGACAAUUUUCUUCUCAUCAUUUAUCCGACACACCGCGCCGUAGCAGCUUGCAGAGCCUCGGGCUGUGAUGUGGAGCCACCAGGGCUCUGCUGGCAGUGUCACUGCCAGCUCCCACCAUCCCAGCAGAGCAGCCUUCCCCUGGUGUACCUCUCAGCUGUGGGAUAAAACCAGGUGGUUUAUCAGGCUGCUGGAUGUGCUGCCUUCGUCAGGUUUAUUUACCAUAUAAUAUGACACAGUGGUUUCACUGUAUGUCAUUUAAUGAGACAUUACCAGGAGUUAAUCAUGGGAAGCAGAGCUCGUGCUGAGUGUUUGGCCAUGGUCUGGCACAUCCCAGCCCUCAUUCCCUGACCCAGAGUGGUGCAGACCCUUGGGUGCAGCAGGUGGAAGCUCUGUCAGCAUUGUCACCAGCUUUCCAUCCCCAGGUGGCCCUUGGCAGUCCUGCAGUGGCCCCAGGCUGGUGACAUGGCUGGAGGGACACGGUUAGAGACUGUAGGAAAAUAAGACACGCAAAACUCUCAAGAGCACAUCCAAUUUCCACUCAUUAAGCCGUAAUUUCCAUCAUUUUAAUUACAUAAAAGGCAGAUAAAUGGCGAGUAUGCUCCUACUUGUGCCUUUUCUCCUAAUUAUUGGUCCUUUGCACGGGCCAGUUUGCAAUGAAUCAGCCUUUAAGCGGCGUUCACUCGGAACAUGCUCGGCUUUAUUUGAAUUAUCUUGUUGGACGAUCAUUCCCCAGAACAUAAUAAAACAAACAUUAAUUACUACUUCAGCGAGUGUAAUCUUCUUGAAAGCACUCGACGCUA